rnacentral:rRNA from 1 species
UACGAAGGGGGCUAGCGUUGUUCGGAUUUACUGGGCGUAAAGCGCACGUAGGCGGAUCGUUAAGUCGGGGGUGAAAUCCUGGAGCUCAACUCCAGAACUGCCUUCGAUACUGGCGAUCUUGAGUCCGGAAGAGGUGAGUGGAACUGCUAGUGUAGAGGUGGAAUUCGUAGAUAUUAGGAAGAACACCAGUGGCGAAGGCGGCUCACUGGUCCGGUACUGACGCUGAGACGCGAAAGCGUGGGGAGCAAACAGG